rnacentral:rRNA from 1 species
GACGAACGCUGGCGGCGUGCCUAAUACAUGCAAGUCGAGCGAAGUUUUUCUGGUGCUUGCACUAGAAAAACUUAGCGGCGAACGGGUGAGUAGCACGUAAAGAACCUGCCUCAUAGACUGGGACAACUAUUGGAAACGAUAGCUAAUACCGGAUAACAGUAUUUCUCGCAUGAGAGAUAUUUAAAAGUUGGUUAUGCUAACACUAUGAGAUGGCUUUGCGGUGCAUUAGCUAGUUGGUGGGGUAAAGGCCCACCAAGGCGACGAUGCAUAGCCGACCUGAGAGGGUGAUCGGCCACACUGGGACUGAGACACGGCCCAGACUCCUACGGGGGGCAGCAGUAGGGAAUCUUCCGCAAUGGGCGAAAGCCUGACGGAGCAACGCCGCGUGAGUGAAGAAGGAUUUCGGUUCGUAAAGCUCUGUUGUUAGGGAAGAAUGGAUAUGUAGUAACUAUACAUGUAAGAGACGGUACCUAACCAGAAAGCCACGGCUAACUACGUG